rnacentral:lncRNA from 1 species
AUGCCUGGCCAAAAAGCAUGUCUUCCAUGCGGCUCCGAGGCAGCGCAGCCUGCAGAAGGGCAAGAGACAUGCGUCUGCCUUGGGAAAGGGGAGGUGUUUCAGGCCCGUGAUGCUCACUGCACAUGCCCUCCAGGUUAUCAGAGCUCCUCCGACGGUGGAAGACACUGUGUCAAACGAACAUAUGAUAUCUGUCGGGAUACAGCCUCUCGAAAUCAGGAAGGACAGUGCUUAACCAAGAAAGAAUGGGCUCAUUAUUGCUCAGAAAAGGUAGAGCUUUUUUUCCCACUAGUUAAAUCCAAGGUACACGCAGAAACUGCCCUACAGCAAACUCCCUAGCUCUUUCUUCACUGAGCACAGACAGCAGAACCAAGCGUGUUAGUGUUCUCACAGGAGGUUUUGCUGCUUCUUCAAACUGAAAAAGGAAGCCAGACAAGAAGCCAGAUUUCCACCUUCACUCAAGGAAUACCUGGCUUCUAAGGUAUUCUAAUUUAUCUUCUAAGCUGCUAUUUCAUUCCCUUUUUUUUUUUUUUUUUUUCCCCUGCAGGUUUGUACUGUCCCCAGGGAUUAUCAAGGCUAUGACAAGGUUCUUGGCCUCUGCAUCUGUCAAGCUGAGGAUCUGGAGAGUGUGUGCAAUUCGCAGUGUAGGAGACAACAAAGAGAGACUCUGCAGGUCGCUUGUACCAAGAAAAAUCCUCAGCUCGUUAUCACUUACAGAAACGGGAGCAAGGUAAAAAGCUGCAGUUAUUUUCACCAUCUACUAUUUUUUGCUAUAUUUAUAUUUUCAUUUUUCAGCAAUUCAGCAAUUUUUCAACAAGAGAAGCCUCAUGUUUGUUUGUUUGUUUCCUUUGAAGAUUAUAGAAAGCAACAAACAACCCCCCGCCCCAGACACUAGUCUAUUAUAUGCAGAGCAUUUUUUUUCUACCUGGCCUUACACUGUAACCAUGUGAAAAAAUCCCAUGUUUUCCAAGUCCUUUUUCUUUUAGGUUGCCGUUGUCUUGGAAGAAUUAGGAACAGUUCUACUAGGACCAUAUUUCCCUUUAAAAGAUGUCUGCACUUCAGAACAAAGCAAAUAUUCCCAUUCAGCAUACAUCGUCAAAACAAGUGGUAAGGGAAGGGCUAACAAGAGCUAUAGCGUUAGCUGGUGUAGAGUUAUAGCUUGGUAUUACAUGUUUUUUAUAAAUACCUGCAAUUUCCAUAUUAUUUAUAAUGCAAACAAAAAAUCUUGAUACACUGUGAUAGCAUAAAGUAAUAUUAAGUCACUCUUCUGUGCACAAUUCACCCCGCUCAGUCCCAGAACAUUCAUCCGAGUUCUAUACAUUUCCAAUAUUUUGGGAAU